rnacentral:lncRNA from 1 species
GGCUUCACCGCUCCGUUUAAAGGUCGCGUCGUCCGGGACGGAGUGUGGGAGAGGCAGACGCGCAGCGGGAGGGAGCAGAGCGAGGCUGUGCCGGGAGCCGAGCAGCCGUCUGCGGAGAAGCCCACAGGGGCGAGUUCUCCGCUCACGCUCACGGGCGGCCGUCGCCUCCCUCCCUCGGCUGCCGGGCCACGAGAGUUUCUCCUCCUCCUGCCCCGCCUCUCAGGGCCGCCGCAUCUGGGCUCUAGGACAGUCGGCGGGGAGCAGAUGGAAUUUACAUUUUGAUGAAGAAUCCUGCCACGUGUACAAGCUGUGCACCCUUGAGGAUGGAUUGCACAGUUCGUGUGGCCUGUGGCUCUUGCUCUCAUUUGUCUGCAUGGCAGAUCCUGCACGGGAAUGAGCCAGCUGAAGAUGUGGACCAGUCCUAG